ensembl:lncRNA
ACCAAGGUGUGGAUGAGACAUGCGGAAACCAAGAGAUGUUGGGGUGAUUCUGCCACGGUCUUCUGUCAGCUCCCAUUGGCUGAACCCAACGAGAAGUCAGAGAAAAAAGAGCAGGAUCCGAGGAGUGAAUGAAGAUAUGGAACCCAGCGUGACCAGUAGGACACAGGCAGCCCUGAUACUGGAAAGAAACCUUCCACCAAAAACAAGAGACUGGCUAGCUUCCUGAAGGAAGAGGAACUAGGAACAAUCGUGGCUCCAGCCCCUGUUGUGAUUCUUCUACCUUGCUGAUCUAACUGCCUCAGGAAGAUGCCGUAUCUGCUCCAUCGCCCACCGUGCGCCUGCCCAGCCCUAGCUCUGAACCGGGUACUCAGUGGGCAUUGGUCACACACAUGUGGAGCAAGGGAAGGCAACUGUGCUCUCUCAUCAGACUAUGAAAGGGAGUAAACCAUGACUGGAUGCUCCAGGGAUGUCUGUGGGACCUGAAACUUAAGACAAUUUGAA